rnacentral:rRNA from 1 species
AUACGGAGGGUGCAAGCGUUAAUCGGAAUUACUGGGCGUAAAGCGUACGUAGGCGGUUAUUUAAGUCAGAUGUGAAAGCCCCGGGCUUAACUUGGGAACUGCAUUUGAAACUGGGUAACUAGAGUUUAGUAGAGGGGAGUGGAAUUUCAGGUGUAGCGGUGAAAUGCGUAGAGAUCUGAAGGAACACCAGUGGCGAAGGCGACUCCCUGGACUAGAACUGACGCUGAGGUACGAAAGCGUGGGUAGCAAACAGGAUUAGAAACCCCAGUAGUCC